rnacentral:rRNA from 1 species
GAUGAACGCUGGCUACAGGCCUAACACAUGCAAGUCGAGGGGCAGCAUGGACUUAGCUUGCUAAGUCUGAUGGCGACCGGCGCACGGGUGAGUAACGCGUAUCCAACCUGCCCAUAUCCCGGGCAUAACCUUGCGAAAGCAAGCCUAAUUCCCGAUGUGUCCUGUGACGGCAUCAGAUCAGGAUGAAAGAUUUUUCGGAUAUGGAUGGGGAUGCGUCCGAUUAGCUUGACGGCGGGGUGACGGCCCACCGUGGCGACGAUCGGUAGGGGUUCUGAGAGGAAGGUCCCCCACAUUGGAACUGAGACACGGUCCAAACUCCUACGGGAGGCAGCAGUGAGGAAUAUUGGUCAAUGGGCGAGAGCCUGAACCAGCCAAGUAGCGUGCAGGAUGACGGCCCUAUGGGUUGUAAACUGCUUUUAUAAGGGAUAAAGUGAGUCUCGUGAGACUUUUUGCAUGUACCUUAUGAAUAAGGACCGGCUAAUUCCGU